rnacentral:rRNA from 1 species
UACGUAGGGGGCAAGCGUUGUCCGGAAUCAUUGGGCGUAAAGCGCGUGUAGGCGGUCCGGUAAGUCCGCUGUGAAAGUCGGGGGCUCAACCCCUGGAUGCGGGUGGAUACUGCUGGGCUAGAGUCCGGAAGAGGUGAGUGGAAUUCCUGGUGUAGCGGUGAAAUGCGCAGAUAUCAGGAGGAACACCGAUGGCGAAGGCAGCUCACUGGGACGGUACUGACGCUGAGGCGCGAAAGCGUGGGAGCAAACAGG